GUGUGUUACUAAUAUAACACCUGACAUGUGUGAACUGGCCAGACAUCUCCCCAAGAGAUGCUGUACAGGAUGCCAUGAGGGUUGGAGCUAAUUGGAAGUAUAAUCCAUGACUAUUUGGGGAAGGCAAAAUCAUACCAUCCUAGAGGCAGGCCCAUUCCUUUGGCUUCUCAGUGGGGAGCUUGUUUUCUUAUUAGUGCUGAUGGUUUUAUUGCAGUCAGUGGAAGACAAGAGACCAUUUGCUUCUUGCACAUCAAUCAAUCACUUCUGGUCCUGAGGCCUCAGCAGAAAGCAGGCCACACAGCUUCACUCCUGAAUUCUUGGAGAGCACUCAAACAAAGUCCACCUGAAUUGUCAGUGGGCCCAGGAGAGGACUUUGACUUUGACUUAAGGGAUUCUAUGAGAACCAUGUGUAGUUUUGGGGUUUCCUGCACCACUUUCAGGUAGGCCUUAGUAUAACCUAACAGUGCUUUAUGUUUGUGCUCAGCAGGUCAUUAGAUGGAGAACCAAGGGCUUACAGAAAUUACACUGAACAUGAAUUAGAAAGAUCCCCUCUAAUUCCCCAGACCAUAACAGGGCUUCCAGUACAGCCAGCCUUUCAGCGAUUACACAUGUUCAUCAGAUCUUUGGAGCCAUUUAAUACUUUGGUGUUUUUCCUCUAAUACUCUUCUUUAAGAGCUGGCCCCCCUCCAAAGUUUUGGAAAGAUAAGAUUCUAAAUUAAUUCCUAAAUUCUCUAGUUAGAUAGAGACUGCCUUUCAGUCCAGGUUCUUCUUUGUUCUUUGAUCUGGAUCCCAGGAGAGUCAUGAAUGUUUCUGCUGCUGCAGCUUUUUCUGAAUAUUGCUGGUAUCUUGAAGGAAAAUCUUCAGUCUGCUGAUGUACCCCUAGGCUGACUACAGAGGGCUGACGGUAGGGGAGUUGGAGCAGGGAGCAUCCUUUGUCUUGCUUUCUUUUUGGGCCAACACAAAUCCCAAGGCUCAUAUGGGUAGGGUAAUCCCUGCCCUCUGAGGCUAAGCACCGCCCAUACCUGCAGACUGGGUGAGAACCUGGGAUUUAAACAAACUCCAGGGCUGGCAUACAGCACCAUUUCUUUUUAUCAUUUCCCCUACUCUUCUUUGAUGUUACCCCAGCUCAGGCCCUCAUCAUCAAUCACUGAGACCAGAGGGGUGACCUCUUCAGAGAUGACUCUAAUCCCCAAAGUAAAUUCAGUCUACCCUAUACCCUAUUUCCAGGGAGCUGAAAACAUAGCCAUAUCACCAAAAGUUAAAACCUUUCUUUUGGUUCCCCAUUGCCUACAAAAUAAAAGUUCAACCCUGCCACAGUAUUUUGAAAUCUGCCUACUUCCCUAGUAGAUCUGCCUCCUUCCUUACCCCACCUCUUGUCCUUCAGCCAUGGUUACUGAGAGGCAGGCAGUUUCUUAAGCAGACUGCUUCACUCAUGCCUUUACUCAUGCUGGUCCCACCACCUCCUAAAAUGCCAUCCCUCGCUUUUUCCCAGUUUGCUUUACUAAUCAUCUUUCUUUUCUUCUUUUCUUUUCUUUCUUUUUUUUUUUUUUUGAGAGAAGUCUCACUCUUAUCCCCCAGGUUUGAGUACAAUGGCUCGAUCUCGACUCACUGCAACCUCUGCCUUCCAGGUUCAAAUGAUUCUCCUGCCUCUGCCUCCCAAGUAGCUGGGAUUAAGUCGCCUGCCACAAGCCUGGCUAAUUUUUGUAUAUUUUAGUAGAGACGGGGUUUUACCAUGUUGGCCAGGCUGGUCUCGAACUCCUGACCUCAGGUGAUCCGCCCGCCUUGGCCUCCCAAAGUGCUGGGAUUACAGGCGUGAGCCACUGCACUUGGCCUACUAAUCAUCUUCCAAGUUGAGAUCAUGGGUCAUGUUAAGGGUUGAAAUAUAUCCCCCUGAAAGAUAUUCAAGUUCUAAACCCCAAUACCUGUGAAUGUAACCUUAUUUGGAAAUAGGGUAUUUGCAGAUGAUCAAGUCAAGAAUGGGGUCGUUAAAGUAGGCCCUAAUCCAAAAUGACUGUUGUCCUUACAAAAAGGAGAAAUUUGGACACAGAGACAGACAUGCAUAGAAGGAAGACAAUGAGAAGACAUAGGGAGGAGAUGGCCAUCCAUAAGCCAAGAAAUGACUCAGGCCGCAAGAAGCUAGGAAAGAAUCAUGGAACUGAUUCCCUCUCCCAGCCUUCAAAGGGAACCAACACUGCCAACACCUGGAUUUAAGACUUCCCACCUCCAGAACUGUGAGACAAUAAAGUUCUGUUGUUUGAGCCAGCAAGUUUGUAAUAUUUUCUUACAGCAGCUCUAGCAAACUAAUACAUGUCACUUUUGGUGUACAACCU
rnacentral:lncRNA from 10 species